rnacentral:ncRNA from 1 species
UACAUUGGCUAAAAUAAAGGUGCCACUAGCUAGUGGAUAAUCGGGAAGUAUGGUGAGUUAUUCCAUCGCUGCCCCCGCAACGGUAAUGAGCUUGAUGAAAAUUAAACUCUAGCCCGGAGACCGGCCUUAAUUUUCCUAUUGCU